CCCUUUCUUUUCUGUUAUCAAAGAAUAUUUCGUUCUAAGUAUGCUUUUUUUUAUUGUUAGUAUUUAUUUUCGGGUUGAUUAUAGGAUUAUUAUAUUGAUAAUCAUAAUGAUAGUAGUUGUGGGUUUAAUGCAUAGUUGGUGGGGGCAUAGUUGCGUUUAAUGCAUGGUAUCGUCAAGAAAACAGUGCAAAGUAUAUAUAUAUAUUAUUCUUGAAACAAAAAGAUUUUGUUUUUUUUUCAUAUCAUCAAUCAUAGGUUUUGAGGCUUUAAAUUCUUUAGUAGCUGCAUUAUAAUUUGGGGUUGGGACUGAGAUUAGCAAGUGCAUCAGAUUUUGGAAAGAGAAAAAGCAAGGGUGACUUGAAUUCAAAGAUAUGAAUCUGAGGAAUGAUAUUUGGGAAGAUUUAAAAAAAAUGGAAAAAAUUUAUGCAUUGAUGAUUCUCUCAUUGGCGGCCCCUAGGUGUUACUCUGUAUAGUGAAUGAGGUAGCCGAUCCCAUGUCAGAGUCUACCGAUCAAUAAUUUGGGACCACUUCAAAAUAAGGCUCAAUGUCAAUACUGUUUGAAAGUGAUCAAGUGCGGAAAUAGAACAAAAAGAUAUUAGACUUGCUUUUUCAUAUAUGAUUAGAUUUGCUUAUGUUUAUGCUUAUGCUUACGUUUAUGUUGAUUUGUUUGAGGCACAACUUACUAGUGCUGCAUACCAACUUCUUCGUAUGGACUGACUUGGGUUUCAUACCAAAAAUAUUUGGUGAUGGAUCAAAGAAAUUUAAUACUCCUUUAAUGGGGAUAUUGGUGUCAACAAUUAUAGCAGUUGCAAUGCCAUUUUUUAGUUUCAAUGAGAUUAUAUCAACAAUGAAUUUCUUGUAUAGUUUGGGGAUGCUGUUGGAAUUUGUAUCGUUUCUUUGGCUUAGGAGAAAAUUUCCAUCAUUGAAGAGGCCUUUUGAAGUGCCAUUGAAAAUGAAGGAUGAGACCACUUUCGUAUCUGCAUGUUUGUUUGGCAUCGAAGGGUUGUAAGAACGGUGACAUUCUUAGUUAAUGACAAUCCAACUUCUUUUAAUUUUGUGUAAAUGCUUAUGUUGUUAUGUUUGUCCUGUGGAUUUGUAGUGAUGAUCUUUUUUAUUGUAUUAUAGGUAUAAGUUUUAUG